AGACUAUGUGAGAUAAGUUUCAUAGUCGAAAGGGAAACAGCCCAGACCGUCAGCUAAGGUCCCAAAAUAUAGGUUAAGUGGAAAAGGAUGUGGGGUUGCACAGACAGCUAGGAUGUUGGCUUAGAAGCAGCCAUUCAUUCAAAGAGUGCGUAAUAGCUCACUAGUCGAGUGACCCUGCGCCGAAGAUAAACGGGGCUAAAAUCUAUUACCGAAGCUACGGAUACUUAAUGUAUGGUAGAGGAGCGUCGUAUAGGGGUUGAAGCAGUACUGUAAGGUAAUGUGGACUUUAUACGAGAGAGAAUGUUGGCAUGAGUAGCGCGAGGCAGGUGAGAAUCCUGCCCACCGAAAAUCUAAGGUUUCCUGAGGAAGGUUCGUCCACUCAGGGUUAGUCGGGGCCUAAGCCGAGGGCGAAAGCCAUAGGCGAUGGACAACAGGUAGAAAUUCCUGUACCACCGAAGGUUGUUUGAAUGAAGUGGGGACACAGGAGGAUAAGCUGAGCACGCCGUUGGUAGAGCGUGUCUAAGCGUCAAGGGAUUAUGGAUAGGCAAAUCCGUUCAUAUAUAUUCUGAGGCGUGAUGGGGUGGUCAAAAGACCGGAAGCAGCUGAUUUCACACUGUCAAGAAAAGCCGCUAAUUAGACCUAAGGUGCCCGUACCGCAAACCGACACAGGUAGAUGAGGAGAGAAUCCUAAGGUGAGCGAGAGAACUAUUGUUAAGGAACUCGGCAAAAUAACCCCGUAACUUCGGGAGAAGGGGUGCCUGCUUCGGCAGGCCGCAGUGAAAAGGCCCAGGCAACUGUUUACCAAAAACACAGGUCUCUGCAAAAGCGAAAGCUGAAGUAUAGGGGCUGACGCCUGCCCGGUGCUGGAAGGUUAAGGGGACGUGUCAUCGCAAGAGAAGCACUGAACUUAAGCCCCAGUAAACGGCGGCCGUAACUAUAACGGUCCUAAGGUAGCGAAAUUCCUUGUCGGGUAAGUUCCGACCCGCACGAAAGGCGUAAUGAUCUGGGCACUGUCUCAACAAUAGACUCGGUGAAAUUGUAGUACCGGUAAAGAUGCCGGUUACCCGCAGCAGGACGGAAAGACCCCGUGGAGCUUUACUGUAGCUUGAUAUUGAGUUUCGGCGUUGCAUGUACAGGAUAGGUGGGAGACAAUGAAGCAAGUACGCCAGUAUUUGCUGAGUCAUCGUUGGGAUACCACCCUUGUAACGCUGGAAUUCUAACCAUGUACCGUAAACCGGUGCUGAGACAGUGUCAGGUGGGCAGUUUGACUGGGGCGGUCGCCUCCUAAAGAGUAACGGAGGCGCCCAAAGGUUCCCUCAGCGCGGACGGAAAUCGCGCGAAGAGUGCAAAGGCAGAAGGGAGCUUGACUGCGAGACCAACAAGUCGAGCAGGGACGAAAGUCGGGCUUAGUGAUCCGGUGGUUCCGAGUGGAAGGGCCAUCGCUCAACGGAUAAAAGCUACCCCGGGGAUAACAGGCUGAUACCCCCCAAGAGUUCACAUCGACGGGGGUGUUUGGCACCUCGAUGUCGGCUCGUCUCAUCCUGGGGCUGGAGUAGGUCCCAAGGGUUGGGCUGUUCGCCCAUUAAAGAGGUACGCGAGCUGGGUUCAGAACGUCGUGAGACAGUUCGGUCCCUAUCCGCUGUGGGCGUUGGAAAUUUGAGUGGAGCUGUCCUUAGUACGAGAGGACCGGGAUGGACAUACCUCUGGUGCACCAGUUGUUCUGCCAAGGGCAUAGCUGGGUAGCCACGUAUGGACGGGAUAAGCGCUGAAAGCAUCUAAGUGCGAAGCCCCCCACAAGAAAAGAUUUCCUCCUUUA
rnacentral:rRNA from 1 species